rnacentral:lncRNA from 1 species
ACCGGAUUUACGGAUGACUUCUUCUUUUUUCCAACCGGGAGGAAGAGCCGGGCAAUCGAUCCGGCCUUGUUUUUCCAUCUUGGCGUUUCAACGCUUUGCAAAAGACGAAAGGAAAAAAGGGGCAACAAAAGCGGAAGAGGCCGUAAGGAAAUAGAAAGGAAGAAAAAAAGAAACGGGCGACGAUCCGCGAAGAGAAAAACGGGAAGGAGGGGAAGGGAAGGAAGGGGGGAAAGGGGACGAAACGCGGGGAGGCGGAGAGGCGAUGAGGGGUUCGGGUUCGGCUUGGAUUCGCUCGAGUUCGGGGAGCGUUCGGCUCGAGUUCGGAGGGGAUCGGCUCCAGUUCCGGGUUGUUCGGCUCGAGUUCGGAGGGACUCGGGAGGUGUUCGGGGCGACUUCCGGGCGAGUUCGGGGGCGCUCGGGGAGCGUUCGGGUCGAGUUCGGGGCGACUUCCGGGGUUUGGGGGUGACUUCCGGUCGAGUUCGGGGCCGCACUCGGGUCGAGUUCCGGGCUGUUCCGGCAGCGUUCGGCUCCGAGUUCGGGCCGCACUCGGGUCGAGUUCGGAGGCGUUCGGGUCGAGUUCGGGGCGACUUCCGGUCGAGUUUGGGGGCGUUCGGGUCGAGUUCGGAGGGACUCGGGUCGAGUUCGGGUGCAGUUCCGGGGUGUUCGUGACGCACUCGGGUUGAGUUCGGGGAGACUUCCGGUAGAGUUCGGGCAGAUUCGUGCUCCGUUCUGGUUGACUUCCGGGGCGUUCGGGUCCGACUUCCGGGGUGUUCGUGACGCACUGGGGUCGGGUUCGGGGGGGGCUCGGGCUCCACUCGGGUCGACUUCCGGGAACUCCGGAAGGACUCGGGGCAACUUCCGGUCGAGUUCGGGGGGACUCGGGCUGCGUUCAGCUCCGAGUUCCGGGCUGUUCGGCUUGAGUUCGGGUCGCCUUCGGGUCGAGUUCGGGGGCAAUCGGGGGGAGUUCGGGUCGAGUUCGGGAAGCGCUCGGGUUCGAAUCGGAGGCGUUCGGGUCUUUUCCGGUGACGCUCGGAGGUGUUCGGGGGGGGGUUGAGGAGCGCUCGGAAGCGUUCGGGUCCAGUUCGGGUCGCCUUCGGAUCGAGUUCGGAGCGGCUCGGGGCCGCGCUCGGGUGCCUUUCGGAAGUGUUCGGAACGGCUCGGGAGGCGCUCGGGCUGCAAUCGAAGGCGUUCGGGUCUCGUCCGGGGGCGCUCGGAAGCGUUCGGGUCGAGUUCGGCUGUCGUUCGGGGAGCACUCGGAGGAGUUCGGCUCUCGUUCGGGGGGCGCUCGGAAACGCUCGGGUCGCGUUCGGAAACGCUCGGGAUGCGAUCGGAGGUGUUCGGGGACACUCGGAGGCGCUCGGGGCGCAAUCGGUGGUGUUCGGAGACACUCGGAAGCGCUCGGGUCGGGUUCGGAAGCGUUCGGGGCACGCUCGGAGCUGUUCGGGGACACUCGGAGGCGUUCGGGUGAAGGAAACGGUCGGAAUCUGAAUUGUGGGGGACCGGAAGUGAUGGGAAACCCGGAAGUGAAGGGAAUAAGGCGGAAGGAGGACCCUAAUUAGGAUCUUAAAGUCAUUAAGUAUGGAGAAGGCUUGCAAUGACCCUGCCAGGAGCCUAAUUAGCAUGUAGGGUAAUUAGGGAGGGAGAAGACUGGGGAUUUGGCAGCCAUGGG